rnacentral:rRNA from 1 species
GAAAAUUACAAGCAUAAGCUCGAAACUCAAAGGACUUGGCGGCGCUUUAGACCCUCCUAGAGGAGCCUGUCCUAUAAUCGAUAACCCCCGUUAAACCUUACCUUCUUUUGCAUCCAGUCUAUAUACCGCCGUCGUCGCUCACCCUUUGAGGGUCUCACAAGUAAGCAAAAUCGGUCAAGCCCAAAACGUCAGGUCAAGGUGUAGCAUAUAAGAAGAGAAGAGAUGGGCUACAUUUCCUAACUCAGGGUCACCGAAAAACAUUUUGAAAAAAAUAUAUUGAAGAAGGAUUUAGCAGUAAGUAAAAAAUAGAGAGUUUU